CACCUUGCGUCUACAGCCCGAGCGGUAGCGACAGGCUGAUGGCUGGUGGCUUUUGCCACCGGCCU
rnacentral:sRNA from 1 species